GACGAACGUUGGCGGCGUGCUUAAUACAUGCAAGUCAACUGAAGCAGUGGUAGCAAUAUCGCUGUGGAGGUGGCGCACGGGUGAGUAACACGUAGGUAAUCUGCCUUCAGGUCUGGCAUAACUCCGGGAAACCGGGGCUAAUAGCAGAUGAUGCAGCGGCUCGACAUCGAGACAGUUGUUAAAGCUAUGGCGCCUGAAGAUGAGCCUGCGUCUGAUUAGCUAGUUGGCGGGGUAACGGCCCACCAAGGCAACGAUCAGUAGCUGGUCUGAGAGGAUGAUCAGCCACACUGGAACUGAGACACGGUCCAGAGUACUACGGGAGGCAGCAGUAAGGAAUAUUGCUCAAUGGGAGAAAUCCUGAAGCAGCAACGCCGCGUGAGGGACGAAGGGCUUUUGCUUGUAAACCUCUGUAGUGAGAGAAAAAAAUCCCAAUCUGUGGGACAUGAUGGUAUCUCAAAAGUAAGCCCCGGCUAACUACGUG
rnacentral:rRNA from 1 species